rnacentral:rRNA from 1 species
UGGCCUUGACAUCCACGGAAUUCGGCAGAGAUGCCUUAGUGCCUUCGGGAACCGUGAGACAGGUGCUGCAUGGCUGUCGUCAGCUCGUGUUGUGAAAUGUUGGGUUAAGUCCCGCAACGAGCGCAACCCUUAUCCUUUGUUGCCAGCACGUAAUGGUGGGAACUCAAAGGAGACUGCCGGUGAUAAACCGGAGGAAGGUGGGGAUGACGUCAAGUCAUCAUGGCCCUUACGGCCAGGGCUACACACGUGCUACAAUGGCGCAUACAAAGAGAAGCGACCUCGCGAGAGCAAGCGGACCUCAUAAAGUGCGUCGUAGUCCGGAUCGGAGUCUGCAACUCGACUCCGUGAAGUCGGAAUCGCUAGUAAUCGUAGAUCAGAAUGCUACGGUGAAUACGUUCCCGGGCC